rnacentral:rRNA from 1 species
CUGCAGCCCGAGUGGUGGUCGAUAUUAUUGAGCCUAAAGCGUCCGUAGCCGGACUAGUAAAUUCUUGGGUAAAUCGGGCAGCUUAACUGUCCGACUUCCGAGGAGACUGCUAGUCUUGGGACUGGGAGAGGUCAGAGGUACUCCAGGGGUAGGGGCUAAAUCCUGUAAUCCUUGGGGGACCACCAGUGGCGAAGGCGUCUGACUAGAACGGAUCCGACGGUAAGGGACGAAACCCUGGGGCGCAAACCGGAUUAGAUACCCGAGUAGUCC